rnacentral:rRNA from 1 species
AACGAACGCUGGCGGCAUGCCUAACACAUGCAAGUCGAACGAGACCUUCGGGUCUAGUGGCGCACGGGUGCGUAACGCGUGGGAACCUGCCCUUAGGUUCGGAAUAACUCCCCUUCGGGGGUGCUAAUACCGGAUAAUGUCUUCGGACCAAAGAUGUAUCGCCUUUGGAUGGGCCCGCGUUGGAUUAGCUAGUUGGUAGGGUAAAAGCCUACCAAGGCGACGAUCCUUAGCUGGUCUGAGAGGAUGAUCAGCCACACUGGGACUGAGACACGGCCCAGACUCCUACGGGAGGGAGCAGUGGGGAAUAUUGGACAAUGGGCGAAAGCCUGAUCCAGCAAUGCCGCGUGAGUGAUGAAGGCCUUAGGGUUGUAAAGCUCUUUUACCCGGGAUGAUAAUGACAGUACCGGGAGAAUAAGCUCCGGCUAACUCCGUG